rnacentral:rRNA from 1 species
AGCAGCCGCGGUAAUUCCAGCUCCAAUAGCGUAUAUUAAAGUUGCUGCAGUUAAAAAGCUCGUAGUUGAAUUUCGGGAUCAAUAUGUUGGUCGUGCCUCGGUACGUACUAGCUUAUUGGUUUCUUCCUUCUGACGAACCAUAAUGUCAUUUAUUUGGUGUUAUGGGGAAUCAGGACUGUUACUUUGAAAAAAUUAGAGUGUUUAAAGCAGGCUCACGCUUGAAUACAUUAGCAUGGAAUAAUGAAAUAGGACGUUUGAUUCUAUUUUGUUGGUUUCUAGGAUCGACGUAAUGAUUAAUAGGGAUAGUUGGGGGCAUUAGUAUUCAAUUGUCAGAGGUGAAAUUCUUGGAUUUAUUGAAGACUAACUACUGCGAAAGCAUUUGCCAAGGAUGUUUUCAUUAAUCAAGAACGAAAGUUAGGGGAUCGAAGACGAUCAGAUACCGUCGUAGUCUUAACCAUAAACUAUGCCGACUAGGGAUCGGAUGAUGUUAAUUUUUUAAUGACUCGUUUGGCACCUUACG